GCCCGCCGCCUAAAGACCUUUUGCCGCCGGUUCAGCCGCUUUUCAAACGCCGGGACAGCCGACCCCACGCCGCCGCGCCCCUCUUCCGCGUAGCAACCAGGCCCGCUGGCCCGGGCCGGGGAAGCUGGAGGACAAAGGGUGAUAGAGAGCAGGGCCGGCGCAGAUAGAACGGCCCUCGGCCCGCUGCACCUCCCGCCCUCUCACGUUCUGUUCCGGGAGCGGACUCGUUCAUUACUGCACAGCGCCCCCUGCUCGCCGGAUCGGGAAAGCCAGGGGGGGGGGGUGUACGGAGCGCGCCGCGCAGGCGCACUACCGCCUGCGGAGGAGGGCGGGGAGUAUUGUAUGCUCUCUUCCAAGACCUUCCAUCGCCUGAGAAAUACAGCGAUGCUAAGUUUUCAAAACACGAGCUUUUCCCAGGCGUGGAGUGUAAAUGUUACUGAAAAGUUAAAUCACAGAAAACUGGUUCAAUUCUAAACUCUGAAAGCCCUUCGCCGUCCUGGCGCUGACCUGCGAGGACGCGUCCUUCAGUACCGCGAGGUGAGGUGAGAUUCAAAGAAUGCAAUGGCAGAUCCCUUUGACUGAACCAUCUUGGUGUGCAAGAAGACGUGUUACCAGGUGAAGAAUCUGCAGCAGCCAAGUGCUGAAGAGUGAAAAGUACAAGAUGGAAACUCAUGUGGUCUCGGGAAUAGUUUAGUAGGAGCCAGAAAUGACAAAGUGAGGUGGGUCUCUCAGGGUGGAAUAUGUGGCUUUGGGAAGCCCUUCCCUAACUUCAUAUCAAAAAUAACUUCUAAGAAGGAAGCUUUAGUUGGGAGCCAUGCAGAGGCAUCAGAGAUGGCAGAAUCUAAAAUGGAGAAAGAGCAAGAAAAAAGACUAUACAGGCAUCUCUUAAGUCAAGGACAUCGAAUCUUCCUCUAUAUCUGCUCACAGCUCAUUGGAGGAGAAGGCUACCACAGAGAAGAGGAAAUGAAAACUGAUUCCGUUCUCUCCCCAGUCCAAGUCCCUUAGGUGGAAACUCUGUUCGAAUUAGGGAAAUGCAAGAUGAUGUUUCAGAUCAAUAUGAGUAGAAUGUUAAAUCAGAUUAAAUUGGACUGAACUGACAUUUUAAUAGCAGAAAAUGAUCAGAAACCUACGGAAUCUGACCAAGCUAUCAUUAGGGAUGGAAAAACGAGAUACAGUGGAACAUACUUGAAAGGGGUAAUUGGAGAAAAAUGGUAAACUUUUCAUAUUUGCACCUGAUAAAAGUUGAGAUUGUUGAAUAAACCAGUUAUAUUACUGA